AAACAAUCUGUAUAUCCACGUGAACGAUUUGUUUUUAAAACUGGGGCAAUUGGCCUUCCUAGCUUUCCUUCUAGUAAUGUCCUUCGACCCCCAUUGCCACCAUCUAGAUUGCUAUAGACUUACUAUACCAUUUACUGAUCAGUGGAAUCUCCCUCAAUCUACGUUGUUGGUAUUUGUUUUCCGCUCUUCAGAAUAAUUCCCUGCUGGCAUUACGCAUGUGCGAGUGGGCAAUCUGUUGCAUGGGGAAAUGUCAAAUAAUGAUACAAUCAGGAUUAGAUCUUUCCUUAAAAUUUUGAGACCAUUGGUAUAUAUUGACUUUUCUCCAAUGAAAUGGGUUGUAGGAUACCUUUUUUUUUUUUAUUAUUUAUUUUUUUAUUUCCCUUUCUAAUAUUUAUAGAUCGGUUUCUUUCUUAAUAAAUUGGUUUGUACCAUUUAAACACUGAACAGUACAUGAUGUGAUGGAUGUAUGGUUUGGAAUCACAGAUUUUAGUGGUCCUCUGCUGACCCAAGCGUUCAUGUUGAGUUGUCAGCAAAUCAGUCAUUUUAGUUGACACACUUGUGUGCUGAAGCAGAGAAGGCUGUAAAAUUUUUGUUUAGCAGCCCUUGGGUUUUGUUAAUUUUAGAACAGUUUUUUUUCCGUGUAAGGAUCCUCCGUGCAGAAAUCCUGCAUGCACAAAUCCAUAUAAUUAAUCAUCCAGAUUUUAUUUGCCAAAGAUUUGUGCCAUAGCUACAUUCUUCUCCCUCUCCCUCGAAUAUAAAACAUUCCUCUGUAAUGAUGAAUAACCACGUAAGGUGCAGCCACAAACAGCUUCUGUUUUUAUUAAUGAAAUGAAUAGGAGGCAAGUGGCUCAUCCAUUGUGUGUCCUUUUUAGUUAAUUUUCAUAGCAGCUUAUGUCCUGUGCAAGUAUCUCUCAUUCAAUAGUAUCUCUUUAACAUUCUCUUAAGCACUUUAAGUUUGGUAAAUCUUGUUUGACUGAAACAGGCUUCUUCCAUUUCUUCCCCCAGUUAUUCUUUUGUGCCCUAAACAAAGUUGGGAGCAUCUUUUGGCUUUCUCUCCUCCAUUUUAUUUAACUUUUUAUUUACAUUUUUUUGUGAAAUACUGCAUAGAUUGUGUGAUUACUGUCACUUGUAACAAGCAAGACUCAUGCAAUCUAUAAAUUUACUAGCAUUUUGUUUAAUUGGGUGGGAUUGGAAUGUUUGUUUUGUUUUUAUUUUCAUUUUCCUACAUAAUGGUUGGUGUUCUGUUACUUGCUGUUUAGCAAAAUUGACUUAAAGAUAGUUAACAAUAUGUCACAAAACACUCGUACCACUUGAAAUAAAAUAUCCCUCUAAUUUUAAAAAUAUUAUAUAUUUAAUAUAAAAGUUGCUGGGCUUUUUUAUUUUUUUUUGUGCUGAUUUGAUGGAAUGGAUCACCUAAAUGGUGCUGUGGAUUACAUUCCUUUUUGUUGGCUGAUUGGGUUAUUUUAAAAAUAAAAAUAAAUAUUUGAGGCUGGCAGAUUUGUAGCCAAAAUAUUCAAGCUGGAAAAUUUUAUCUAAUUCAGCUGCGUUGUCCUGAGAUUUCCGUUUUGCGGGUCAAUGCCCAACUGAUUUUUAGCAAAUAACCCUGUUCCUAAUUGUCUUCUUCUCUCAUCAGCUGACACCAAAUUACAAAAGUACAUGUGCUCAAAACUCCAAAAAAUGUGCUGUAACUCAGUCAGACAACCCACCACUCUCCACUUGGUGUAAGUCUGUAGUACAGGGGUGGGAUGUCCACAUGGUAGAUCCCCAGUUGUUUCUGAACUACAACUGCUACAAUACUUUGGCAUUCUUAAGGCUUGCAAAACAUAACGGAAGAUAUAGGUCUUCAUUAUAUGAAAAUCUAUUGUUUGUGCCUUUCUGCUAGAGGAUAAGAUUUGUCGUCAUACAGCUUCUCGACUGUAACUCAUCCUAAAUAUUUAUUUGGUGCAGUGAAGGAACUUGAUGGAAUAUAGUAUAUAGUGCUGAAUGUCUGGCAGUAUACAAAGUAUUUCUUUAAGAAAUUGAAGACGGAGGAGAACCAAAGAACUGGUUUAAAAGUGAUCUGCCUUUGAAAUGAGUAUCAAUAACUAUCGUUCUUCAGAUUUCUCUAAUUUCAGUCCAUAAAGUUGGGACACUUGUUUCAAUGCAUCGCACACUCCUAGCACUGAAAGAGUUAUCGAAGGUACCAGCUGAAGUCUUGUGCUCUUGCUACUCUGUUUAAAAAAAACUGGUUUGUGUUCCAAAGGGACAAAUCUGGUCUGGGAACCUGUUUAUUUAUGAAAGGACACUUGGAAGCACGACACUGUCCUCAGUGUCUGUUUAUGCACUCUCAUGUUUAAUAUGUGGCUAGGAGGUAAAUCACUGGAGUGUGAUGGGUGUGUGAAGAUUUAGUCUUUAUAACUGGAAUUGUGAGGUUAUCAAAUCAAUGCAAUAGUGUAUUUCUAUAUUUUAUUGUAAAUAUCCUGUUAAGUGAUUUUAAUUUCUAUUAUUCUGUAAACAGGGCAGCUGUAUGAUGUGUACAUAUAUUUUUGUUUUUUCUGAUAUUUAAAAUGUUUAAUUUAUUGCCUGAAAGACCAUUUGAAG
rnacentral:lncRNA from 1 species